rnacentral:rRNA from 1 species
ACUCCUACGGGAGGCAGCAGUAGGGAAUCUUCCACAAUGGGCGCAAGCCUGAUGGAGCAACACCGCGUGAGUGAAGAAGGGUUUCGGCUCGUAAAGCUCUGUUGUUAAAGAAGAACACGUAUGAGAGUAACUGUUCAUACGUUGACGGUAUUUAACCAGAAAGUCACGGCUAACUACGUGCCGGCAGCCGCGGUAAUACGUAGGUGGCAAGCGUUAUCCGGAUUUAUUGGGGCGUAAAGAGAGUGCAGGCGGUUUUCUAAGUCUGAUGUGAAAGCCUUCGGCUUAACCGGAGAAGUGCAUCGGAAACUGGAUAACUUGAGUGCAGAAGAGGGUAGUGGAACUCCAUGUGUAGCGGUGGAAUGCGUAGAUAUAUGGAAGAACACCAGUGGCGAAGGCGGCUACCUGGUCUGCAACUGACGCUGAGACUCGAAAGCAUGGGUAGCGAACAGGAUUAGAUACCCUGGUAGGAUAGCG